GAGUUUGAUCAUGGCUCAGGAUAAACGCUGGCGGCGUGCCUAAUGCAUGCAAGUCGCACGGAGUGUCCCUUCGGGGGCAUUGAGUGGCGAACGGGUGAGGAACGCGUGGACAACCUACCCCGGCGUGGGGGAUACCCGCCAGAAAUGGCGGCUAAUACCGCGUACGGUUGCUUGGCGAGGGGCUGAGCAAAGAAAGCAGUAAUGCGCGCUGGGAGGGGUCUGCGGCCGAUUAGCUUGUUGGCGGGGUAACGGCCCACCAAGGCGAUGAUCGGUAGCUGGUCUGAGAGGAUGAUCAGCCACACGGGGACUGAGACACGGCCCCGACUCCUACGGGAGGCAGCAGCAAGGAAUUUUCCGCAAUGGGGGCAACCCUGACGGAGCAACGCCGCGUGACGGAUGACGCCUCUUGGGGUGUAAACGUCUUUUGCCGAGGGAGAGAAUGGACGGUACUCGGCGAAUAAGGACCGGCUAACUACGUGCCAGCAGCCGCGGUAAUACGUAGGGUCCGAGCGUUGUCCGGAAUUACUGGGCGUAAAGCGUGCGCAGGCGGCCCGUGAGGUGUCACGUGAAAGCCCCGGGCUCAACCCGGGAGGGUCGUGGCAAACCGGCGGGCUUGAGGCCGGUAGAGGUGGGUGGAACUCCUGGUGGAGUGGUGAAAUGCGUAGAGAUCAGGAAGAACACCCGUGGCGAAGGCGGCCCACUGGGCCGGUACUGACGCUGAGGCACGAAGGCGUGGGGAGCGAACGGGAUUAGAU
rnacentral:rRNA from 1 species